GUGGCAUGUCUACUGCAUCAUGUGGAGCUGGAGCUGCAACUACUGCUUCAUUGUCUUAAUAGGCGAGCAGGUGUGGACUUCUCUUCUCGAAGCCCUACCUCAUGAAGGUGAGGAAUCAUUUCACAUCCUCUCAGAUGAGGUCGAUUUUAGCUCCAGAGAUGAGAGAUGUUUUGACAUUCAACCCAUUUCGAACAGAGCCCCAUGGUGUAGGGGCUCAAAAAGUAUUUACUACAGAGAGUUUUUUUUACACAUGGCGAACAGAGGUCUUGCAAAUAUAGAAGCCACCGUUUUAAUAUAUAUUAGCUUAUAACCCUAUAUCAUACAUGGGAUGUCAUUUUUUUAAAAUAAUAUUUGAUUUUAUUUAUCUUGUGAAGAUCCGACUUGAGGGAGAUUGGAGGGGGAAGCUCGAUGGCAAUGAUGGGGAGGAAGGCAAUGGUGGAGACGGCGAGAGGUGGUAGCUAG
rnacentral:lncRNA from 1 species